rnacentral:rRNA from 1 species
GCCUAGUCGUAAACCCUAACUUACAACCCCAUCGCCAGGGAACUACGAGCAAAGCUUAAAACCCAAAGGACUUGACGGUGCCCCACAUCCAGCUAGAGGAGCCUGUCCUGUAACCGAUACCCCCCGUUCAACCUCACCACUUUUAGCCCAUCAGCCUGUAUACUUCCGUCGUCAGCUUACCGCGUGAGCGGAACAAGUAAGCUUAGUGUUUAUUCGUCAAGACGUCAGGUCAAAGUGCAGCAAAUAAAGUGGGAAGAGAUGGGCUACACUUUCUACCUUAGAAAACACAAAAGACUGUGUGAAACUACAGUCAGAAGGCGGAUUUAGUAGUAAGAAGAAAAUAGAAUGUUCCUCUUAAUUCGGCACUGAGGCGUGUACACACCGCCCGUCACCCUCUUCAACACAAUACUUUAGUAUUUAACAACUUACACCAACAAGAAGAGGUAAGUCGUAACAUGGUAAGUAUACCGGAAGGUGUGCUUGGAAAC